CAUAGUCCAUAUUAAAAUAUUUUGGCGCAGCCUUGCAUUACUCUUGUUGUUGUUUCUUACUAGUAAGCAAGAGGGUUAGAGGGUUACCCUCUGCCAGGCCGCUGCCUACCCACUUUUUAUUAUUAUUAGUGCUGACCUCUUCUAACUUUUGAGCCAUAGCGAUAUCUCCAGUACAUGCAGAGUUGUGGGUAACCAGGGACCCUCAUUCAAUGUUCAACUGCUAGAAAACGGUUAAACCCUGAGUGGGGGGAGAGUGCCAGGGGACUCCAGGUACUAGAACUAACUGAGGUAGAUUAAAUUGUUAUAGUGCCUACAGUGUCCCUUUAAAAGACUUCCGUGGACUUAGGCUUCAUGUAGUCACUGCAGGAAUAUUUCAAAGUUCAUUGUGUGUGAGAUGUGUAAAUCAUAUAAAUGUUAAUUUAGUAUUUUU